GUUGUAUGGUUAAGUGACUAAGCGUACACGGUGGAUGCCUGGGCAGUCAGAGGCGAUGAAGGACGUACUAACUUGCGAUAAGCGCAGAUAAGGCAGUAAGAGCCGUUUGAGUCUGCGAUUUCCGAAUGGGGAAACCCAACUGCAUAAGCAGUUACUGUUAACUGAAUACAUAGGUUAACAGAGCAAACCGGGGGAACUGAAACAUCUAAGUACCCCGAGGAGAAGAAAUCAACCGAGAUUCCGGUAGUAGCGGCGAGCGAACCUGGAUUAGCCCUUAAGCACUCGGUGAAGUAGGUGAACAAGCUGGAAAGCUUGGCGAUACAGGGUGAUAGCCCCGUAACCGACGCUUCAUCGAGCGUGAAAUCGAGUAGGGCGGGACACGUGAUAUCCUGUCUGAAUAUGGGGGGACCAUCCUCCAAGGCUAAAUACUCCUGACUGACCGAUAGUGAACCAGUACCGUGAGGGAAAGGCGAAAAGAACCCCUGUGAGGGGAGUGAAAUAGAACCUGAAACCGUGUACGUACAAGCAGUAGGAGCACCUUCGUGGUGUGACUGCGUACCUUUUGUAUAAUGGGUCAGCGACUUAUAUUCAGUGGCAAGGUUAACCGUAUAGGGGAGCCGCUAGCGAAAGCGAGUCUUAACUGGGCGCUCAGUCUCUGGAUAUAGACCCGAAACCGGGUGAUCUAGCCAUGGGCAGGUUGAAGGUUGAGUAACAUCAACUGGAGGACCGAACCGACUAAUGUUGAAAAAUUAGCGGAUGACUUGUGGCUAGGGGUGAAAGGCCAAUCAAACUCGGAGAUAGCUGGUUCUCCCCGAAAGCUAUUUAGGUAGCGCCUACGACGAAUACUACUGGGGGUAGAGCACUGUUAAGGCUAUGGGGUCAUCCCGACUUACCAACCCUUUGCAAACUCCGAAUACCAGUAAGUACUAUCCGGGAGACACACGGCGGGUGCUAACGUCCGUCGUGGAGAGGGAAACAACCCAGACCGACAGCUAAGGUCCCAAAGUAUUGCUAAGUGGGAAACGAUGUGGGAAGGCUCACACAGCUAGGAUGUUGGCUUAGAAGCAGCCAUCAUUUAAAGAAAGCGUAAUAGCUCACUAGUCGAGUCGGUCUGCGCGGAAGAUGUAACGGGGCUAAGCAAUACACCGAAGCUGCGGCAAUGUCUUUUAGACAUUGGGUAGGGGAGCGUUCUGUAAGCCGUUGAAGGUGAAUCGUAAGGUUUGCUGGAGGUAUCACAAGUGCGAAUGCUGACAUGAGUAACGACAAAGGGGGUGAAAAACCUCCUCGCCGGAAGACCAAGGGUUCCUGUCCAACGUUAAUCGGGGCAGGGUGAGUCGACCCCUAAGGUGAGGCCGAAAGGCGUAAUCGAUGGGAAACGGGUUAAUAUUCCCGUACUUCUGACUAUUGCGAUGGGGGGACGGAGAAGGCUAGGUGGGCCAGGCGACGGUUGUCCUGGUUCAAGUGCGUAGGCUUGAGAGUUAGGUAAAUCCGGCUCUCUCUAAGGCUGAGACACGACGUCGAGCUACUACGGUAGUGAAGUCAUUGAUGCCAUGCUUUCAGGAAAAGCCUCUAAGCUUCAGAUAGUCAGGAAUCGUACCCCAAACCGACACAGGUGGUCGGGUAGAGAAUACCAAGGCGCUUGAGAGAACUCGGGUGAAGGAACUAGGCAAAAUGGUACCGUAACUUCGGGAGAAGGUACGCUCUUGAUGGUGAAGUCCCUCGCGGAUGGAGCUGACGAGAGUCGCAGAUACCAGGUGGCUGCAACUGUUUAUUAAAAACACAGCACUGUGCAAAAUCGCAAGAUGACGUAUACGGUGUGACGCCUGCCCGGUGCCGGAAGGUUAAUUGAUGGGGUUAGCGCAAGCGAAGCUCUUGAUCGAAGCCCCGGUAAACGGCGGCCGUAACUAUAACGGUCCUAAGGUAGCGAAAUUCCUUGUCGGGUAAGUUCCGACCUGCACGAAUGGCGUAAUGAUGGCCACGCUGUCUCCACCCGAGACUCAGUGAAAUUGAAAUCGCUGUGAAGAUGCAGUGUACCCGCGGCUAGACGGAAAGACCCCGUGAACCUUUACUACAGCUUGGCACUGAACAUUGAACCUACAUGUGUAGGAUAGGUGGGAGGCUAUGAAGACGUGACGCCAGUUGCGUUGGAGCCGUCCUUGAAAUACCACCCUUGUAUGUUUGAUGUUCUAACUUAGACCCAUUAUCUGGGUUGAGGACAGUGCCUGGUGGGUAGUUUGACUGGGGCGGUCUCCUCCCAAAGAGUAACGGAGGAGCACGAAGGUGGGCUAAUCACGGUUGGACAUCGUGAGGUUAGUGCAAUGGCAUAAGCCCGCUUAACUGCGAGAAUGACGGUUCGAGCAGGUGCGAAAGCAGGUCAUAGUGAUCCGGUGGUUCUGUAUGGAAGGGCCAUCGCUCAACGGAUAAAAGGUACUCCGGGGAUAACAGGCUGAUACCGCCCAAGAGUUCAUAUCGACGGCGGUGUUUGGCACCUCGAUGUCGGCUCAUCACAUCCUGGGGCUGAAGUCGGUCCCAAGGGUAUGGCUGUUCGCCAUUUAAAGUGGUACGCGAGCUGGGUUUAGAACGUCGUGAGACAGUUCGGUCCCUAUCUGCCGUGGGCGUUGGAAGAUUGAAGGGGGCUGCUCCUAGUACGAGAGGACCGGAGUGGACGAACCUCUGGUGUUCGGGUUGUGUCGCCAGACGCAUUGCCCGGUAGCUAAGUUCGGAAUUGAUAAGCGCUGAAAGCAUCUAAGCGCGAAGCGAGCCCUGAGAUGAGUCUUCCCUGACAGUUUAACUGUCCUAAAGGGUUGUUCGAGACUAGAACGUUGAUAGGCAGGGUGUGUAAGCGUUGUGAGGCGUUGAGCUAACCUGUACUAAUUGCCCGUGAGGCUUAACCAUACAACACCCAAGGGGUUUUGUA
rnacentral:rRNA from 1 species